CCCUUCCGUAAGGUGAACCUGCGGAAGGAUCAUUACCUAGAGUUGUAGGCUUUGCCUGCUAUCUCUUACCCAUGUCUUUUGAGUACCUUACGUUUCCUCGGUGGGUUCGCCCACCGAUUGGACAAAUUUAAACCCUUUGCAGUUGAAAUCAGCGUCUGAAAAAACUUAAUAGUUACAACUUUCAACAACGGAUCUCUUGGUUCUGGCAUCGAUGAAGAACGCAGCGAAAUGCGAUAAGUAGUGUGAAUUGCAGAAUUCAGUGAAUCAUCGAAUCUUUGAACGCACAUUGCGCCCCUUGGUAUUCCAUGGGGCAUGCCUGUUCGAGCGUCAUUUGUACCUUCAAGCUCUGCUUGGUGUUGGGUGUUUGUCUCCUGUAGACUCGCCUUAAAACAAUUGGCAGCCGGCGUAUUGAUUUCGGAGCGCAGUACAUCUCGCGCUUUGCACUCAUAACGACGACAUCCAAAAGUACAUUUUUACACUCUUGACCUCGGAUCAGGUAGGGAUACCCGCUGAACUUAAGCAUAUCAAUAAGUCGGAGGAAAGGAUCAUUACCUAGAGUUGUAGGCUUUGCCUGCUAUCUCUUACCCAUGUCUUUUGAGUACCUUACGUUUCCUCGGUGGGUUCGCCCACCGAUUGGACAAAUUUAAACCUUUGCAGUUGAAAUCAGCGUCUGAAAAAACUUAAUAGUUACAACUUUCAACAACGGAUCUCUUGGUUCUGGCAUCGAUGAAGAACGCAGCGAAAUGCGAUAAGUAGUGUGAAUUGCGAAAUUCGUGAAUCAUGAAUCUUUGAACGCCCAUUGCGCCCUUGGUAUUCAUGGGGGCAUGCCUGUUUGAGCGUC
rnacentral:rRNA from 1 species